CAAAAGGCAACAACGGGAAAUGGUGUUUAUCCGCGGUUGACGGUAUUUAAUGUUUCAGUGAUUCAGUCGGUUAAAAUUUAAAUGUUAUCGUACUAUUUGAAGUGAGUCAUUGACUUGAUCAUGAAAAAAUCCGAACUGUUGUAAUAGCAAUAAAAAGCUGCUUGCUAUUAUCAGUUAUCUGUUAGCACAGAUCUGUGACUAAGAGUUGGGCGUUACUCGUGUGAAAUAGAACUGAUUUGGAUUAAUAAUCGGGGCCCAGUUGACGCCCUUGGAGGGAGGAUUAAGGCGUGACUUCUGUUGACAUCACUCGAACUCACCACUUUGCUUAAAUGAAUCGCUAUUUUCUUGAGCACUGACAGUACAUUGCAAAUGCAGUGGUAAACAGAAGAGGCACCACCAUAACAACAGCCUAAAACGGCCCAUUUUUCCGAAUUAUCACACUUA